GCUGCCCCUUCCCUCCUCACUUCAUAUCCUCUUCUCUUGGAUCCCCUCUCUUGUCUAGCUCGUCGGGGGCACCGCCGCUCGCCGUUGCAACACCGGUCACAGGAACCGGUGGGAUUCGCCAGCCCUCAGUCCGCAUCGACGUCCAUGCCUCCAGCUCCGACAUGCACGCCAGCUGGACGGCGCCGUGAAUCGCCUCGUUUUCUGGAACCUCUUGGACCGAGGCUGCCUUCCUCGGUUCCGUCGGCCGCCGCGGUCGUCAUCCUCACCGAACAGCUACAGGGACUGUGACGGGCUCCGCUUUGUCCACAUCUGCUCUGGACCACGGAUUCGAAACCGCGGAUCCCUCCUACUUCUUCAUGACGCUGACCGCCAUUACUGCUGUCCAGAGCUCGUUGUUAUGCUCUGUCCGACCUCGCCACUAACAGCAGGGUGAGAAAUCGCCGCCACUGUUGGUGUUGUUUGCUACUUGCCGCUGUCGCUGCAUGCUGCUGGCCACUUGUUGCUUGCCGUUGAUGCUCAAUGAUGUUAGCCGUGACCUGCCUGUAGAUGAGAGAAAGAGAGAUUGAUUUGCUAGUGCAAGUAUCUAACGAGCCAGAUGCCAGCUGGUUUGACUUUUCAGCAAACGCUAUUGGGAAGUUCUGAGUGUGGGAGCGACACUGUUUUUGUUUCAGUAACUUGCUGGCAUAAAUGCUGUCGUGUACUACUCUACGUCCAUGUCCCACAGUACAGGCCUUGCAUCUAAUGUUGCAGCGAGUGCUCUUGUUUGAUGAUGCCAAUGUUUUUGGUUAGUAAAGUGUUUGAAAAGCAUAUUUUGGCAGUAAUUUCCAAUGCCUUUUCUGAGAUGUAUAUAUACUUCUCAAUGCACCAUGAUUGCAUCUCCACUGAUGGUCAAGCAAGGAAGGAAGAGCCUUCUCAUAACAAGAUUAUCUGGAAUGGCACGUCGAUGUUACUCUUGUCAUUGUCCUUCACCCGGAAGGCUUUAGCACCUUAUAAUGGCAUUCUUGCUGUUGUUGGCACUGUUCUGUAAGUGGUUUACAUUCACCUAAUAUGGUGUUCUCCUGGUUUUUCAUUAUCACUAAUUUUAGCUCAUAACUAACUUCAAAUCUUGAUAGUAAUUUUAUGAGUGCGGUGUGAUAUUGACCUUGACUACACUGCGCCAGCCCUCGUCGCUUCCAUAGCACGAGCACUUAGCCUGAAGAAAACAUCAAGAAUCAGAGUACAGUGAGUGAAAAAACAAAGCACAACGACAACACUAAUAAUUUUAGCAUGAAAAGAAGCAUCAACCAGAUGAACUGCAGCUCCCAUGCAAAGCAAGGCUUCUUUAGGAUUUUCCCUGAGAGCAUAAGAGGUUGACACCACCGCACAAGUUCUUAAGCUGUUGGAAAUCAAACAGAAGGAAGAAGACAACACCAUCAUCUUCAACAUGUGAAUGUAGUCAUAAGUGAAUUUCCUAGAACAGAACAUCCCUCCAUGUCUAAUGACAAAAGCACACUAUGAAGUGAUGUGUUUAAAUCACUUCUAUAUUA